CUUGCGGUCACAUCACGUUGAAACGUCGGUUCCCGUACUAUCACCGAAGUUAAGCAACGUCGAGCCUGGUCAGUAUCUAGAUGGGUAAUCGAUUAGGAAUACCAGGUGCUGUAAG